rnacentral:rRNA from 1 species
CCUACGGGAGGCAGCAGUGAGGAAUAUUGGUCAAUGGGCUUACGCCUGAACCAGCCAAGUCGCGUGAGGGAAGACUGCCCUAUGGGUUGUAAACCUCUUUUGUCAGGGAGCAACGCCGGCUACGUGUAGCCUGACUGAGAGUACCUGAAGAAAAAGCAUCGGCCAACUCCGUGCCAGCAGCCGCGGUAAUACGGAGGAUGCGAGCGUUAUCCGGAUGUAUUGGGUUUAAAGGGUGCGUAGGCGGAAUGCCAAGUCAGCGGUAAAAUCGCGGGGCUCAACCUCGCUCCGCCGUUGAAACUGGCGUUCUUGAGUGGGCGAGAGGUGUGCGGAAUGCGUGGUGUAGCGGUGAAAUGCGUAGAUAUCACGCAGAACUCCGAUUGCGAAGGCAGCAUACCGGAGCCAAACUGACGCUGAAGCGCGAAAGCGUGGGUAUCGAACAGGAUUAGAUACCCGUGUAGUC